rnacentral:rRNA from 1 species
UACGUAGGUGGCAAGCGUUGUCCGGAAUUAUUGGGCGUAAAGCGCGCGCAGGCGGUCCUUUAAGUCUGAUGUGAAAGCCCACGGCUCAACCGUGGAGGGUCAUUGGAAACUGGGGGACUUGAGUGCAGGAGAGAAGAGUGGAAUUCCAAGUGUAGCGGUGAAAUGCGUAGAGAUUUGGAGGAACACCAGUGGCGAAGGCGACUUUCUGGUCUGUAACUGACACUGAGGCGCGAAAGCGUGGGGAGCGAACAGG